rnacentral:misc_RNA from 1 species
UUAACUAUUAGAUAGUCCUCGGACGCCGCGUUUAGGUUCAGGGUUUGGGGGCCUUUGGCGAGCGCACGCCAGCGAAUCGCCGGCGGCCUGGACGGUCGACCCGCCAAAGCAACAGGGUCAGGUAAACAGGGUGGGAGAUCUACCCCGGGGGGCACGAACUCGGUAAUGAUCCUUCCGCAGGUUCACCUACGGAAA